rnacentral:tRNA from 1 species
GGGCCCGUGGCCUAGCUAGGAUAGGGCGGCAAGUGGAAAAGCUGUAGAUCGUGGGUUCGAAUCCCACCGGGCCCGCCA